rnacentral:rRNA from 1 species
UACGUAGGGGGCUAGCGUUAUCCGGAAUUACUGGGCGUAAAGGGUGCGUAGGCGGUCUUUCAAGCCAGAAGUGAAAGGCUACGGCUCAACCGUAGUAAGCUUUUGGGACUGUAAGACUUGAGUUCAGGAGAGGAGAGUGGAAUUCCUAGUGUAGCGGUGAAAUGCGUAGAUAUUAGGAGGAACACCAGUAGCGAAGGCGGCUCUCUGGACUGUAACUGACGCUGAGGCACGAAAGCGUGGGGAGCAAACAGGAUUAGAUACCCUGGUAGUCCCUGA